UACGUAGGGGGCAAGCGUUGUCCGGAUUUAUUGGGCGUAAAGAGCGUGUAGGCGGCUGGGUAGGUCCGUUGUGAAAACUCGAGGCUCAACCUCGAGACGCCGAUGGAAACCCCCCAGCUAGAGUCCGGAAGAGGAGAGUGGAAUUCCUGGUGUAGCGGUGAAAUGCGCAGAUAUCAGGAAGAACACCCGUGGCGAAGGCGGCUCUCUGGUACGUGACUGACGCUGAAACGCGAAAGCGUGGGGAGCAAACAGG
rnacentral:rRNA from 1 species